CUCUGGCCAGUCUUGUUGCAAAGCUAAGGUUGGUUUUUCAGAGACGUCUGCACUUGCUGUAUUGUAAAUGCAAGAUGCGAUGAAGUAAAACCAAAACUUUUCACUUAAAAACAGCAUUUUAAAAUUCGGAUGGCUACUGGAGUAGGGAAUAACAGGAAAUGACUAAUUUAGCACGAAGAGACACAGGAAACUCAGGACAGAGGAAUCAAUUAAGUUGUACAAAUUACACGUAUAUUUAUUUACCUGGGAGAAGGAUGUAUCACAACAUUAAACAUAUUACAAUGAGAUUUGUUGGCUUGGCCAAAUUCAUGC